ACUCCUACGGGAGGCAGCAGUGGGGAAUAUUGCACAAUGGGCGCAAGCCUGAUGCAGCCAUGCCGCGUGUGUGAAGAAGGCCUUAGGGUUGUAAAGCACUUUUAUGUAGGAAGAAGGUAUGUGUGUUAAUAGCACAUGUAAUUGACGGUACUACAAGAAUAAGCACCGGCUAACUCCGUGCCAGCAGCCGCGGUAA
rnacentral:rRNA from 1 species